UGGGGAAUUUUGGACAAUGGGCGAAAGCCUGAUCCAGCAAUGCCGCGUGUGUGAAGAAGGCCUUCGGGUUGUAAAGCACUUUUGUCCGGAAAGAAAUCCUUGGCUCUAAUACAGUCGGGGGAUGACGGUACCGGAAGAAUAAGCACCGGCUAACUACGUGCCAGCAGCCGCGGUAAUACGUAGGGUGCAAGCGUUAAUCGGAAUUACUGGGCGUAAAGCGUGCGCAGGCGGUUUGCUAAGACCGAUGUGAAAUCCCCGGGCUCAACCUGGGAACUGCAUUGGUGACUGGCAGGCUAGAGUAUGGCAGAGGGGGGUAGAAUUCCACGUGUAGCAGUGAAAUGCGUAGAGAUGUGGAGGAAUACCGAUGGCGAAGGCAGCCCCCUGGGCCAAUACUGACGCUCAUGCACGAAAGCGUGGGGAGCAAACAGGAUUAGAUACCCUGGUAGUCCACGCCCUAAAACGAUGCCAACUAGUUGUUGGGGAUUCAUUUCCUUAGUAACGUAGCUAACGCGUGAAGUUGACCGCCUGGGGAGUACGGUCGCAAGAUUAAAACUUAAAGGAAUUGACGGGGU
rnacentral:rRNA from 1 species